UACGGAGGUUGCAAGCGUUAUCCGGAUUUAUUGGGUUUAAAGGGUGCGUAGGCGGAUUUGUAAGUCAGUGGUGAAAUCCUGCAGCUUAACUGUAGAACUGCCAUUGAUACUGCUAAUCUUGAGUACAGUUGAGGUAGGCGGAAUGUGUAGUGUAGCGGUGAAAUGCUUAGAUAUUACACAGAACACCAAUUGCGAAGGCAGCUUACUAAAGUGUAACUGACGCUGAGGCACGAAAGCAUGGGGAGCAAACAGG
rnacentral:rRNA from 1 species